rnacentral:rRNA from 1 species
GAUGAACGCUGGCGGCGUGCCUAAUACAUGCAAGUCGAGCGAACAGACGAGGAGCUUGCUCCUCUGACGUUAGCGGCGGACGGGUGAGUAACACGUGGAUAACCUACCUAUAAGACUGGGAUAACUUCGGGAAACCGGAGCUAAUACCGGAUAAUAUAUUGAACCGCAUGGUUCAAUAGUGAAAGACGGUUUUGCUGUCACUUAUAGAUGGAUCCGCGCCGCAUUAGCUAGUUGGUAAUGUAACGGCUUACCAAGGCAACGAUGCGUAGCCGACCUGAGAGGGUGAUCGGCCACACUGGAACUGAGACACGGUCCAGACUCCUACGGGAGGCAGCAGUAGGGAAUCUUCCGCAAUGGGCGAAAGCUUGACGGAGCAACGCCGCGUGAGUGAUGAAGGUCUCGGAUCGUAAAACUCUGUUAUUAGGGAAGAACAAAUGUGUAAGUAACUAUGCACGUCUUGACGGUACCUAAUCAGAAAGCCACGGCUAACUACGUG